rnacentral:pre_miRNA from 1 species
GUUUCGCACUUGUGUCUUGCUGAACCGAUACUGACUAUUUCCGGUUGAGCAAAAUUUCAGGUGUGUGAGAAA